rnacentral:antisense_RNA from 1 species
CUUUUUGGUGGGCUAUGCAGGGAGACUUUCGAGUCUGCUGGAACUUGAGGCCAGUCCGCCAACCUUGCAUGGUCUGCCACCCUC